rnacentral:rRNA from 1 species
GGACGAACGCUGGCGGCGUGCCUAAUACAUGCAAGUAGAACGCUGAAGCUUGGUGCUUGCACCGAGCGGAUGAGUUGCGAACGGGUGAGUAACGCGUAGGUAACCUGCCUGGUAGCGGGGGAUAACUAUUGGAAACGAUAGCUAAUACCGCAUAAAAUGGAUUAUCGCAUGAUAAUCCAUUGAAAGGUGCAAAUGCAUCACUACCAGAUGGACCUGCGUUGUAUUAGCUAGUUGGUGGGGUAACGGCUCACCAAGGCGACGAUACAUAGCCGACCUGAGAGGGUGAUCGGCCACACUGGGACUGAGACACGGCCCAGACUCCUACGGGAGGCAGCAGUAGGGAAUCUUCGGCAAUGGACGGAAGUCUGACCGAGCAACGCCGCGUGAGUGAAGAAGGUUUUCGGAUCGUAAAGCUCUGUUGUAAGAGAAGAACGAGUGUGAGAGUGGAAAGUUCACACUGUGACGGUAUCUUACCAGAAAGGGACGGCUAACUAC